GAUCUAGCAGAAACCUCAUUAGGAAAUAUUCCGUUCUGAAUGGCUUCUGGCUAAAUGGCUUGUGAGGAAACAGCCUGAUCAAUGCACCAGACCUAAUACAUUUUGGGUUCGAUCCCUUAAUAUGUGUAAGCAUUUACACUGCAAGUAAGAGGAAAUUCUCGCUGGAAUGACCAGGCCAAG